AGGUCGAGUAUCCUCAGCUCAGGCCACUCGAUGAUGCCACUCAACCCCCUGGUCGAGUACCACUUCGCCACACCACCUGACCACACUCGGCCGUUCACUCUACCAUGUUAAUCGACCCCCUGGUCGAGUAUCAUCACUCAUCACCAACACCAUCACUCGACCGGACACUCGAUCACGUCUUCAAGGUCUACUCAAAUCCGUAGUCAACGAGACAAGCUGGGCACAAGGAAGAGAAGAGGAGAAGACGAAGUGUUUGGAAGCGGCCUGGACCUCCAUCGGAUCACGAAGCGCAUCUCGGCCCAUUAUCAUUCUAUGGGCCGGGCGAUUAGGUUAUUGGCCCGUCUACUAUCAUUUUAUUUCGUUUUGUAUAAAUAGAUGUCUUAGGGUUCUGUCUUGGGACAUCUAGUUGACAUUGAGUUUUUGCUUCAGUUUUAUUUUCUGUUUGACUCUGCUGCGCCGUUUUUGCUUCUACAACCUAUAAUUAGAGAUUUUUCCAAGUUAUUCAGAUUCCGCAUUUGAUUUUAUCUGUCAUCUUGUUUCUCUACUCUUUAUCUCUUUACUUAUGCAAUAUUAUCAUUUAUCUGCGUUUAUGUCUUUGAGCAUGUUGUCUGAGUAGUGACUUAGAAUUCUUAGGGAUGGGAUAAAGUAGUUGUGGAAUCCGUAGUCUGUAGAAUGGUUAAGUUUUAGAAUUGAUUGAAUCCCUUCAGGACUAGUUGUGUUUACUGCUUAUUUCUUUCUGUUCAACUGGAAUUCGAUCCCAAGCAUUCCCGUACCCAGAAGGUGUUCGAUGGAAUGCUUGAUCCACUAGUUCCUGAGAUAUUCGUCUGUAUCCUAAGGGAGUGGCCGUUUAGAGCGUUUAUUGACUUUAUCAGUCUUUUCUUAUUGCCUGCAUAGUUAGAUUCCGUUAAUGGGAAUUAGUCUGGGCUAGCUUUGCUUGAGGAUUUCUAUCACGGGAGUGAAUUGAUCUGUUGUUGAACCUGUUAUCUAGGGAUAGCUUGAUUACGCUUGUUAACCAUUCAGAUAGGCUAGGAUACCACUCUAUUCGAUUACCCCAUCCUUAGGAAAUUCUCGUCUAUCUGAUUUCUUUGUUUUAUCGUUAUCACUUAAUCGUUCUCAUUGCUUGUUUCUUUGUUUUUGCAAUCACUCGAUCAACUUACUCGACCACACCCAGUGUUUGGCAACAGACUGUGCAGUCGAGUAUAUCUGUUUCAUAUCCUGCCUGUUACUCGACCACAUCCUACUUUUGGCAUCAGCCUAUUGUGGUCGAGUGAUUUUAGUAAUUCAGAUAUUGUUUUUGUUUUCUGCAUGUUCACUUAGGACUGUUAGAAACCCCAAAACUGUUAUUGCUUGGCUUGACUUAGUGACUUCUGAUCAAAUCUCAUCUGUUUGCAUCACACCCAUUUGGAUUGACACCUAAAAUACUACAACUACAUGAUUGGUGUUUUAGGAUAAUUGACUAAAAACCUAUUAUCAGUAAGCACCUCACUCCACCAUUGUAAUAUACCAUCUCCUGUUUUUAUUUUGUUUCUGUGAUGUGUUUUGUCCUGAGUACUCUUUUCCUAAUUUGGUCACACAGUGGACUGUGUGAUUUAAGUUUGGGGGGAGGGCUCAGGAAGUGUGUGUUGCAUUGUAUAUAAUUUUGAGUCUGCAUUCAUCUAAGGCAUAGAAAAAACCAAAAAAAUUGAAAAUUU
rnacentral:sRNA from 1 species